GAGCCGCGAGCCGAGACAAGCCGAAGACCGAGCCGAGCCGAGUUGAGCCGAGCCGAGCCGAGGCCAAGCCGAGCCGAGCCGAGUUGAGCCGAGUUGUGAGCCGAGGCCAAGCCGAGCCGAGCCGAGAGUGAGCCGAGCCGAGCCGAGCCACCUAAGCCUUCCUCCCUCCACUUCGGGUCACGGUGAGUCUUCGGUAAGGAUUGUUUUGAUGAAUUCCCUAAUGUUACCACAUCCGAUUCGAGUUUGAAUGUUGGAAUAAGAUAUGGCCCUACUUUUCUCCCUUGAAGGUAGUAAGGAGUUGACGCUUAAGUUCUCGGAUCUCGCGGCAGGCUUGUUUGGAGAUAGCUUUCCUUUCCUUGGGUUGAUCCGUUGAGCGUGGAUUCGAUCGAGGGGCAUAACCGAGUAUUCAAAUUGGGAUUUUAUGUUGAUGGACCUUGAAGUUACGGUUCAGUAUGUAGUAAUCAUUGGUCUGGAUGUUGAUCAUGGAGUUUGGACGGGGAAGGACAGUGAGUCCGGUUUUGGUUAGUUAGUUGAUUGGGUCUAGGGUUUUCCCUAAUGGUGUGCGAACUGGUGAUGCGUAUAGCAACUGAGGGUGUAAUUAUUUAAACCUUUACUAUCUGACUGACAAGCCUAUGGCGGAAUUGUAAUAUGAAUGCCGUUGGGGUGUGACUGUUGUAGACGGUUAGUGUGGACUAAGGGGUAACGGUUAGCUUCAUCUAUGGGGUAGUAUGCCUUACUGAAAUGUGCAUCCUUCGGGAGCACUAGACUGAUGUGUGCAUCCUUCGGGAGCACUAGACUGAUAUGUGCAUCCUUCGGGAGCACUAGACUGAUGUGUGC